rnacentral:rRNA from 1 species
CCCUAGUAACGGCGAGUGAAGCGGCAACAGCCCAAAUUUGAAAUCUGGCCCCUUCGGGGUCCGAGUUGUAAUUUGGAGAGGAUGCUUCGGCGACGGCCCCGGGGGCAGUUCCCUGGAACGGGACGCCACAGAAGGUGAGAGCCCUGUACCGCCCGGGUGCCCGCCGCCGUUCGAAUCGCCUUCGACGAGUCGAGUUGUUUGGGAAUGCAGCUCUAAGCGGGAGGUAAAUUUCUUCUAAGGCUAAAUACCGGCCAGAGACCGAUAGCGCACAAGUAGAGUGAUCGAAAGAUGAAAAGCACUUUGGAAAGAGAGUUAAACAGCACGUGAAAUUGUUGAAAGGGAAGCUCUUGCUGCCAGACUUGCCGCGGUCGCUCAGCCGCCCCCCGGGGUGGUGUACUCGUCCGCGGCGGGCCAGCGUCAGUUCGGGCGGUUGGAUAAAGGCUCGGGGAAGGUAGCUUCCUGCGGGGAGUGUUAUAGCCCCGGGUGCCAUGCGGCCAGCCCGGACUGAGGCCCGCGUUCGCGAGGACGCUGGCGUAAUGGUCGCAAGCGACCCGUCUUGAAACACGGACCAAGGAGUCUAACAUCUGUGCGAGUGUUCGGGUGUCAAACCCGUACGCGUAAUGAAAGUGAACGGAGGUGGGACCCCGUACGGGCGCACCAUCGACCGAUCCUGAUGUCCUCGGAUGGAUUUGAGUAAGAGCA